GAUCCUGGCUCAGAUUGAACGCUGGCGGCAUGCUUUACACAUGCAAGUCGAACGGCAACACAGGGAGCUUGCUCCCGGGUGGCGAGUGGCGCACGGGUGAGUAAUACAUCGGAACGUAUCCUGUUGUGGGGGAUAACUGCUCGAAAGGGUGGCUAAUACCGCAUGAGACCUGAGGGUGAAAGCGGGGGAUCGCAAGACCUCGCGCAAUUGGAGCGGCCGAUGCCCGAUUAG
rnacentral:rRNA from 1 species